rnacentral:rRNA from 1 species
CCCAGACUCCUACGGGAGGCAGCAGUGGGGGAUAUUGCACAAUGGGGGAAACCCUGAUGCAGCGACGCCGCGUGAGUGAAGAAGUAUUUCGGUAUGUAAAGCUCUCUCAGCAGGGAAGAAAAAAGACGGUACCUGACUAAGAAGCCCCGGCUAACUACGUGCCAGCAGCCGCGGUAAUACGUAGGGGGCAAGCGUUAUCCGGAUUUACUGGGUGUAAAGGGAGCGUAGACGGCAAUACAAGUCGGAAGUGAAAUACCCGGGCUUAACCUGGGAACUGCUUUGGAAACUGUAUGGCUGGAGUGCUGGAGAGGUAAGCGGAAUUCCUAGUGUAGCGGUGAAAUGCGUAGAUAUUAGGAGGAACACCAGUGGCGAAGGCGGCUUACUGGACAGUAACUGACGUUGAGGCUCGAAAGCGUGGGGAGCAAACAGGAUUAGAUACCCCUGUAGU